rnacentral:lncRNA from 1 species
AUUUUAUCAAUUAUUUAUUUUGUCGGGAAUUUUUACUUAGGUUACGUAAUUAUAUAGAUUUAUUUAUAUUUAAAUGGGAUAGAUUUUUAUAUAUAUAAUUUCGAACUAUGGAAAGGGUAAAUGGAAAUUUCUGCCUGUUGCGGGGUGGAAAACCGUUCUUAUAUCCCAAUUUCUGGUUUACCCGCGGAGGUAGUAAAUCGGGUUGGGAUAUGGUAGCCGAUAUUGUGGGCGGAUGCGGCCGCCCCAUACGCUUUAUAUCGCGUUAUUAGUGGCCGGGCACACCGACAGUCGGCCGUAUAAACCGGUGGACCGAGCUACUGCCCCAUUGGUUAAAAAUGGAAAAUCGGGCCGUCCGGUCAGAACCUAGCGCCCGGGUCCAGAGAUAAAUUCGAAGGAAGUUAUUUAGUUUUUGGUCCGCUUAAAGGAUAUCGGAUAAAAUCCCAGUUCCAAGCUUUUAACUAAACGUAUUUGGAAUUUGGCGCAGCUAAAAUACGAGUAAUUCUACCUGGUUGAAAUUUGGUCACGGUUUUUAACCAGCGGUAAAUGGCUAAAUCUUCCCUGGAGCGAAGCGUAAGUUUACUUAGACUAUUGUUGAAAUUUUCGAGGAAAAUCGCCUACAAAAAGCUGGCUUGUCCUAGCGCCUACGCUUUAGUUAUUUUCUUUCCCGGAUGGCCGAACAAUGCGGACCCUGAGUAAAUGGAAAGCAAUUUCUAUGUAUUUUGAGCGUUUAAUGCACGCUUUAAAAAAACUUUUUUAAUUAAACAUUUAUAGCGCUAUUUAUGGUAAUUGUAAAUAUUAAAAUCCGAGGGAAAAAUUUUAAAUCUACACUAAAUAUCUGUUUUAUUUCUCCAAACUUUCUAAAAUUAGCGUUAUAAUGCGGGCUUAAUUAAAUUGUACAGAUUUUUCUUUUCGAUGGAUUUAAGCGUAGCCACUGGCCAGUGCCGAGAUCCAUCGCCAGUGGUAUAUUAUAUAUGUUAAGCCUAAACACCCAAAUGGCGUCACCACCGAAAAAACGGCCGACAAGCGUGACCAACACUCACCAGGCUCCUCCACCUUAUUCGGCUGGGUGGCCACUCCGCCAAAACCGAUACAGCCAUUCGAAACCACCACCGUUAGUAUUCCUCUCCGUCUUACUAAUAGUAGCGGUUUUUCGACCGUUUAGCGUUGUAUCGCCGUGCCAAUUCAUUGACCAGAGUUUACACAUUUGGUCAGGGCGCCUGAUUUUAUUCUUUAAAUCGUAAAUCUAAAGUAAAAUUUUAAAAGAUUUCGACAAGAACACCGUCUAUCGAUUUUCCUAGUCUCUAAUAUCCGAUAAAGAACCCCGAUUUUAUUAAAACAUUUAAAAAAUGUUUGUUUUCUGGUAGCUAACAAGACUUACGGUCCGACUCAUUCGAUUGCCGAAGCUGUAUAAAUUACAACACUUACUGAUAUAAUCUGCGCGGGAAAUUUCCCAUUCUACAUAGUUCUAAGAAUAAGAUAAAAAAAGAUGUCUGGUGCGUAAGCGGCUAAGGC